rnacentral:lncRNA from 1 species
UUAGUUUUAUUUUAGCUUCUAUUGAUAAUAUAUGUGGAUAUCCAAUUCAGUAAUCAUAAAAAGUUGAAGCUUUUGUGAGACUGUUUUGAUGGUAUUGAUAUUACGGUUUGUUUUUUCGAUUGGAGUUUGAGGAGGUUGGAAUGAAAAGGGUCUAUGCUUUUGAUUUUUGUGUGAGCGUGUGAUAUGAAUUGGUUGAUCCUGAGUGAAAUGGGUCUAUGGGGAUUUUGCUAAGGCCAAAGUUGAGAUCUUGGCUUUGCAUUCUUUUUUCAAGAAACCCAUUUAGUAAAAGAUAGAUGUUUUAAUUUUCUUUAACUUCAAUUCAUGGGGUUUGCAGCUGAAGGUCGUGGAAGCUGCAAGAGUGGAAAAGUGGAUAAUGUUUACACACCAGGAAGGAACUCCAUUUAUGAUCCCUACCACAGUCCAAAUGUGUUUAUGUAGUUUUUGUUUAGGAUUGCCGAUGCUGAAGAAAACCUAGGAUUUGGAAGUCAGAGAAGCUCAUUUGGCCAAGUCCCUGUUCUUCAUCCGUAUAGGUGACAAGGAAAAAGCGCUGGAACAACUCAAGGUAACAGAAAGCAAGACAGUUGCAGUAAGGCAAAAGAUGGACUUGGUGUUCUAUACGCUGCAGCUUGGUUUCUUUUACAUGGAUUUUGACCUCAUUUCUAAGAGCAUUGAGAAAGCGAAAAAGUAAGUUGUGGCCUGAGCAUUGAGAUAUGGACGCCCUUGGUUGAAGAGAAGAGCUGGGUUAGGCAUGGGUAUGGUUGCAGCCUAUAAUCCAAGUCUCCAUUAUCUCAUUGAAUCUCAUGGUUUUAUUGAAGAGGAUGCAAAAUCUUUUACAAUUUCUUUGCUUCUUUAAUGUAAAGCACUUCAUUGUAAAUGUUUGAAGUAUGUUUAUUGUACAGAAAUAAAAGUAUUAUUAUGUUCAGGUUGCAAAUUAAUUAGC